CGGACUACGCGGGUAUCUAAUCCCGUUUGCUCCCCUAGCUUUCGCGUCUGAGCGUCAGAUGCAGUCCAGAAGGCCGCCUUCGCCACUGGUGUUCCUCCGGAUAUCUACGCAUUUCACCACUACACCCGGAAUUCCACCUUCCCCUACUGCUCUCCAGUCUGCCAGUCUUGAACGACCUCUCCCAGUUGAGCCGGGAGCUUUCACAUCCAACUUAACAGACCGCCUGCACGCGCUUUACACCCAGUAAAUCCGGAUAACGCUCGCCUCCUACGUUUUACCGCGGCUGCUGGCAC
rnacentral:misc_RNA from 1 species